rnacentral:rRNA from 1 species
UGGUGGAGUGAUUUGUCUGGUUAAUUCCGUUAACGAACGAGACCUCGACCUGCUAAAUAGAAAUCUCAAUUCAAUUUCUAUUGAUUGAUGAUGUUCUUCUUAGAGGGACUAUCGGUGCGUAGCCGAUGGAAGUUCGAGGCAAUAACA